rnacentral:lncRNA from 1 species
GGCUAAAACUCUAGGAAACUCACCAGAAACCUUGCACCCUACUUUUCUUUCUUUUCUUUCUUUUUCUCUUGAAAGGAUAUGGACUUUCUUCUCAUGCAAAAGACUUUCUCACACCCCAAAAUUUUUCUCCAAAAAUCUUCUUCUUACACGCCCCACUCUUCUCCUCCUUUUAUAACAACAUCAAACGUCUUAUCCAAAAGAAAGGAUAAAGAUGAGUAAUUACACAUUUGAAUUUAAAUCAAAUUUGAAUUCAAAUGGAUACCAACUUAUCCCUUAUCCACUAAAGGCAUGAGGCAUGGCUUAAAUUGUGCAUGGAGUAAUUUUAUGAGAAAUAUUUUUCUCAUGUAAUAAAUGGGGCAUUAAAAAAAGGGAUAAGGCGCAAAGAUUGAUUGUCCAUUCAAAUUCAAACUUUAUUUUGAAUUUGAAUGGCCAACCAAUCAUCCUUAUCCAUUCAAUUGGCACAUUAAAGUGGGGCAUGGAGAGGGCUUGGCGUGAGGAAAAAAUUCAUGAGAAGUUCCUUCUCAUGAAUUCAAAUGGCUGCAAUGGA